CAUGGCACCUCUGUCAUCCCCGCCCCUCUGCUCUGCUCCUGACUCCACCAGCUGUGACCAAUUCACCCUCAUCAACUCUGCCCUUCUUAAGGAGACCCAGCUCCACAACUCAUCGCCAGAUCGUUACCCCUUAUGGAUUCCUGCUCGCCAGUGUCACCUGUGUGGAAGUCAGUUCGAGCCCCCCUGCUGUUCUGGAAAUACCACCCUCUGCUAGCCGCGCUACUACCUCCAGCCACGCCUCAAGCUUCGCUCCUCUCUGGAUCACAUUCACGCCAGCAACAUCUUCCUGGAAGGAAAGAAUAAAAACCCUUUCUUACCUCUCAUCUACCUGCGUCUUCAUUCUGGGUUCCAGCAUCUGGGUCUGCCGCUCCUCCGAAUCAUGACAGAACGAUCUGGCCAAACCUCCGACCCAGCUGACCCAGAGGGACUCCGCUACUCCGUUCGUCAGCAAGGGAUCACCCUGGGACGCCAAGCGGAUGCCUUAUCCCAAAUGGCAACAGCUCAACAGGAACUUUUCAGACGCUUGGACGGUAUGACGCAAACAUUAAUGGAAUUAUCCGGGCAAAUGUCUAACCCUGUCACCACAGCAACGCUUCCGUCUUCCGGCAACACAUCCACUUCCGCUUCCGCCGCGCCCCCGGAAAACUUCCGCCUGCAACCCGAGCCUUUCUUCGGUGACGUAGAAGCCUGCAGCGGGUUUCUCCUUCAAUGCCAACUACUGUUCCAGCAGGCCCCGAGAAAUUCCACACGGCCCUCCCGAGGAACCUAUGCGGGUUGGACUCUCUAAAAUUUCUGCUGAAGAACGUCUGAGACGUCGGAACGAAGGCGCAUGCUUUUACUGUGGACUUCAAGGACAUCAAGUAAACCAGUGUGAGUUACGUUUAAACUCCAGAACCCCCCGCUAGAAGGCAGGCCGCGGGCGGGUGAGUCCACCUCUCUUUCCGAGGAUUUUUUACUUCUCCCUGUCAAGCUAUGACACCAGUCCAAAGUAGCCGACCUCCAAGCUCUCGUUGAUUCAGGUGCUGAACAGAGUCUCAUCGAUCAUAGUCUUGUUUCUAGUCUCUCACUUCCCCUCGAAAAACUCGACACCCCAGUCAAAGCGGCCGGGUUGG